GCGUGUGUGAAGAAGGCCUGCGGGUUGUAAAGCACUUUUAUCGGGAAAGAAAAACUCGGGGUUAAUACCCCCGGGCCUUGACGGUACCCGAAGAAUAAGCACCGGCUAACUCCGUGCCAGCAGCCGCGGUAAUACGGAGGGUGCAAGCGUUAAUCGGAAUUACUGGGCGUAAAGCGAGUGUAGGCGGCUACGUAAGUCGGAUGUGAAAGCCCUGGGCUUAACCUGGGAAUUGCAUUCGAUACUGCGUGGCUAGAGUCUGACAGAGGGAAGUGGAAUUCCGGGUGUAGCGGUGAAAUGCGU
rnacentral:rRNA from 1 species